GCGGGCUCUGCUGUGAAAAAGGGGAUGUGUCCAAGACUUCACUGCAACUCCCCGUUUGACCACUACACUCCACCAACCCCAGUGACUCUGGCUCAGCCAUAGCUCCGCCACUGAGAAUCAGGGCAGUGGAGUUCCUCCACUGGGAAACAGGGAAUCACAAAGGGAAUCAAAGCUUAUCAAUCAUCACAAUAAAGCCAAAGUUCUUAGUGUCCUCCCAGCAGGGUGAAUUUUUGACUGGCUCUAAUCACUCACUACUGCUGUCAAGGGGAGCGGCAGAAUGCCCGAGUUCUCUCUCCACAUGGGUUUAGGUACCUGGAUGCCUCACUUCUUACCCCAGCUUCAGGAGGAGUGACAGAACUUGAGGCUGAGGAGAUGGAACAAGGUGGGAGUCAGUGCUCUCACACUUGCCCUGGCCCCAUGCCUCACUGCCUGUGGGACUUCAGUUCAGCUCUGGAAUGGGGCAGUCACCCCCGUGGAAUAGGAAGUCCUUCAUGUUCUCAUGCACCGUGGUUCAUGCCUUGUCUGGGGUUGCAGCAGCUCUGUCCAUGCCUGGCAGAAGCUUAAUCAUGGUGAACACUACAAGGCCCUACACCCUGUACUUCAGGAAGAUCCUACUCUGGUCUUAAGUUUCCCCAUGUGCACAAGUUGGAACAGUGGAAAUCCCACUAGGGCACAGAGAAAAAUCCUUCCCUGGAGGACCCAUAGCAGGACAACAGGAAGAGCCUCACUUAUGAGCCACUGACUGUGGACUGUGGCAAUUCAUUGGCGUGGCCUUGAAGUCUCAGAGCCAAAAGCUUGCGUCCCUAAGAAACUGGAGAACGUGGAUGAAGAGAAAACAAAGUUGAGGCAAAGGCAAAAGGGAGUGGUAGAGAGGGUGAUAAGUGAUAAGCCAUGGCAGAGACUGGCGGUACCAAGAAACCCGGUGGGGAUAUAUCAGGGCUUGGCUCAGACAGGGCUGAGGUGGCAGGAUCUGGCUGUUCCUUGUAAAUCCAGCCUCAGGUUCAGCAUCCUGUAGAGCACCAACAUGAAGGGCACAGGUACCCCAAUCCGAGGAAAGAGCAACGGAGGAGCAAAUUUGUGUUACGUUCCUGACUCCGUCUUCUGGUGCUGGGAUGCAUCAUGGCAGCUUCUCAGUAUUGCCCUUUCCAGGUUAAGCAGCUGUUUUUCAGUUUAUACUUUGAAGUCAGACUUUUGUACAUUGUUGAGCACCCUCUUGGACUUACUGUAGACUCUCACCAGUUAUACUACACCCUUCUUGAAAAGCAGUACAUCAUCUGGAGGGUUCAACAGCUAAUCCGUGCAAAUGUAGUGCUGCAAAAAUAAUGCUUGGAUGUACUAACUCAAGUGUGACGUGUGACGAGGAAUCACUGGGCCUUUUGAUUAGCGAGAAACAGUACAUAAAAACUAGGUGA